UUUUUUUUUUUUUUUUUUACCAUUUUUACAUUAGACAAGAUAGGAAUCAGGGUGGAAGAAAAGGAAAAAUUUUGGUUCACUUUAAGUUGCAUCCCACAAAAGACAAUUUCAUUUCUUGAAAAUGAUAUAUAUAGGUGUAUGUAUUAUAGUAAUAUCUAGUUUCCGACGUAGUAGUGUUUUGCAAAACAAAGUAACUAAUACAUGCAUUAUUUGGAUCUAUAUAUUAUUUUAUACGAGAUUUGAUAUGAAAAAAGAAUCUGUAUACCUAAAACAUUUGUUUGGGCAAGAAUCUAAAACUUGUGCAAGUCAUAUAAAUAUAUGGAUCGAUAACUUGUUAUACCUUUUUUGGUCUCCCACCAUACAUUUCUUUGUGUGUUUUAUCAAUAUCCUUAUUUGUCUAAAUUUACUCAUAUCAUACUUCUUUUUCAGAUUAGUCACGUCAGAUUUUAUCUAGAUAAGUUCACUUUGAUGAUAAUUGAUAAGAUAACAAGCAAUAAUACAUGAGGUGAGAACAAGCAUAAUCACUUUCAUAACAGAUAGUGUCUCGCAUUCAAGUUGCAAACUUGAUGAAAUUGAUUGAAUUCGGUCCAAGCAAAAUAUAUCCAGAAUUUCUUUUAUUAAUUCCCAACCAUCACUAGAGUGCGUCAUCCCUAAACAGUAGCUCAGAGUUUAUAUCUUAAGGCAUGCUGAAACAACAGAACAGAAGAUUUUUUUUAUUAAUAUAGUUUAAUAUGUAGUACUUCUUUCUCUAUUUCAAUUUAUGUGUCUUAGUUUGACAAAAUAUAAAUUUUAAGAAAGUAAAGAAUACUUUUAAAUCUUGUCGUUUUAAAUUAAAGAUGUGCGUAAUAUGCCAAAAUUUCCUGAAAUCCAGAGGCGGAUCCAUGAUUUCAAGAUGAUGGGUGCAGAAUUUAAAAUUUACAUUUGACUAGUUUAGUCUCUUACCAUAAACCGAAUAUACUUUUGAAAUUGUAGAUUAUAUUCUUUUUGAAAUUUUAGUGCCAAUUUCACUUAUAGGUUUCUGCUGGUGUUACUAAUGAAUUGUCUUUUCUUGUUUUUUUAUUUUCGUUUUUCUGAACCGAGGGUCUAUCGGAAACAGCCUCUCUGCCCUAUCGGGUCAGGGGUAAGGUCUGCGUACACAUUACCCUCCAUAAACCCCACUUUAUGCGAUUUUACUGGAUAGUUGUUGUUGAGGAGUUUUUAAGCGUGGGUACACACACAUAUAUUUGAGUAAUUUUAAAAAAAUAUAAAAUCGUUAUACAUGGUUUAAUGAGAGGAGCAUAAGUUCACGUGAACUCAUACCUCUUAACCUAGAUACGCCCUGCUUAAAUCUUAUGGUAUUAAAUAUACCAUGUGAAAAGUUGGAGCUAGCAAACUACUAAAUAUAGAAAGCGAUACUCUUUUUGAAUCACGACUAAAAUGGAAAGUAUGGUACGUAUAAAUUCAAACGGAGAGAGUAGUAGGUUCCUUACCAUUUUUACAUGUUAGCAGUUAAUGCUUACCAUAAUGAGUUCCUUGUACCUGACCGAUUACGUGAUUGUAUAAAUAUUUCUUAUAUCGUCGGUGCCUAUACUCUUUCCCUCCAUUUUUAUUUGGCAGGUAUAUUAAAAAUAUAUUUUUAUUUUUACUUGUUAUUUUACACAUAUCAAGAGAUGAUAAUUUUUUUUCUUGUUAUAUCCACAUUAUUUAUUACUCAUUUCAAAUCAUUUUCUCAAAUCCAAUAAAAUAUAUAUCAAUUAAUAUGGGUACAGGGCGGACCUACUGCAUAGACUAUGGUUUCCCGGGAACCAAGUAACUCUUGCGUAGAUUCUGUAUUUAUAUUAAGAAAUUUACCAAAUAUUGGUAAAUAUGAACUUAGUUAUUAUUGUAUAUUAAUCUGAAAUUACGGUAUCAUGAUAAAUUAUGCACUUCAUUUAUUAUUUUUUAAGGAGCGUAGAAAGUUAAAACGUUGCAAGUAAAAGUGAACGGAUGGAAUAACUUAAAACUUUAUGACAUACAAAUCUCUGCACCGAAUUUAAGGACUAGUACAGCUUAUUCAAGUUUGACCUUUUACAAGAACAGCUCGAAAUUUGAUUAAGCAGCAACCACAAUAGUAGCUUUUUUCUCUGUUCUAAAACAAACCCCACAGUCACAAAGCAAAAAUUGUAGAUCUUUAUGUUAUUUUAUUUUUGUUACUUUGUGAAGAAACAAUUAAAUAAAUAAGCCCCUCAACUCAGUGGCAAGGGCAGGAUUUCCACGAAGGGGGUUCAAAAAAAAAAAUUGUAGCUAGUGGAAUUGAACCCAUGACCUUAGGUAGAUUUUGAACCCCCUUGACCACUAAACUACACUUUUGGAUUGUAUUAAGGGGGUUCAAAACUUAAUGUAUAGAGGUAAAAAACAGAUUUUGCCUUAUAUAUACAGUAUAAUUUUUCGGCGAAGGGGUAUGGAUGAACCCCCUAGCGCCCCCUAAAUCCGCCCCCGCCUCAACCCCUAUCUCCCUCCCCAUGCAUUAAAGAUGAUCAAGCAUAUUCCAGCGAUAAUAGAUAACUAUAUUUUGGUAUUGGAGCAAUGUUGAUCUGUUCCAAUUUAUGUAAAUCUAUUUCCUUUUUGGUCUGUUUAAAAAAGAAUGAUCCCUUUUUAAAUUUGGUAACAAUUUAGCUUAAACUUACAAUUCUACCCUUCAUGAGAAGGGUUUAUAACCACACAAAUACUCUGGACCACUUUUUGACCUGUUUAGGACCACAAAUUCCCCAAUCAAACAGAUUCACAUAAAUUGAAACGGAGGGAGUAAUAUACUAAGUAGUGAUAUAGAACAUUAAUCUACACUCAAAAGCUGGUAGUUUCCCCUCCACUGCUUAACUUAUCAUUCUAAUUUAUUUCUGAUCUCUUAUUAUGAGUUUUAAAUUCUAUGAUAGUGACAUAAGACAUUAAUAAUUGGAUUCUAAAUUUAAUUUUUGUACAUAUAUUUAGCUGGAUUUCUUAAUACAAAUGCAGUAUUUGAACUAAAGCUAUCCAUUUCGGUCGACAUGGGCGAAACUACAUAGUUACAAGCAGAGGCGGAGCUAAAAUUUGAAGUUUGUGGGUUCGAGAUUCUAAAUUCUUUAAGUUACGGGGUUCUAAAUUAAUAAUUUAUACAUAUUUAAUAAAAAAAUUUAAGACAUAUACAUGAUUUGCACCAAAGCCACUGGGUUCGGUCGAACCCAUAUCUCCUACUCUCCCUCCGCCCCUGGUUACAAGGGUGGCCAAUUGACCAGCCUUCGUUGAAAAAUUAUAUUGUGUAUAUAGGUAAAGUAUUAGGUUUUAGAUGUAUAUAAUAUAUAUUGAACCUACUUUGUCGGAGAAUUUUUUUCACUUCUUUCAAGUUUGAACACCUUUAGGAAAAUUCCUGACUUCGCCAUUGUCGGUCGAACAACCUUCUAGCUCCGCCCCUGGUCAAAAAAGCUUAUCUCUGCAACUGCAUUUCCAUGAAAGAAGAUAAUAGUUGCUAUCUUUUUCAUUAGCGUUCCUCUUCUGGCGAGGUGGGAUGACUAGAGUUGCCCUACAUGGCUGGCAAUUCAUGCACUUGUUUACACAAUCUGGUGGCUUUGACCCCAUCACCAUUUUCCUUGACAUUCCCACUGAAACAAACACAAAUGUCAAUCUAACAAAAAAAGCAAAUGAAAUAUUUAUCUCUCAUCACCUGUGUUAAUUUUUAAUUUCCACUAAAAUUGAAAAAAAGAGCCGUGGAAAUAGCCUGUUGCAGAAAUGCAUGGUAAGGCGUACGAUAAACCCUUGAGCCCGACCCUUCCCUGGACCCCAACAUAGCAGGAGCUUAGUGCACUAGUCUUUCUACAAUUGAAACAAGAAUUAAAUUUCAGCAAAAAGUAAACUUGUGACUUCACCUGAUUCAGAAGGUUGAAAUGUAAGAGACAAUAAAAGGACCAAUGUAACUACAAUCUUCAGACAAAACAUGCAUGUAUUUGAAAGAGACAUUAGUUUGCUAAUGGCUUUGUCCUAAAGUUAUAUGCAGGGGAUGAGCAAAGAACUAUAAGCAGUGGAAUGGUAUUUAUGAAUAGAAAAGGCUUACUAAUGUUUCCAGAAGAAGGGACAAUAGGCUGAUACCAAAAGCUUCUUCACCAAUCACAUGACAUUUCACAUUGAAACUUUAAUUCUGAAAUUUUCUGUGCCUCUAUCUGGGAAUUGCUGCUGGUUACAAUGCAUCUUAGUUGACUGUUUGACAAUUUUGCUUACAUCAAAGUUCAAACUUGAUUGUUCCAACAUUUUCAACAGGUCAUUCUGAUCAGUCAAAUCAAUUAAUCAAAUCUUUUGCUUUCCUUGUUUUUGAGGGUAACGACAAUUGUCAGUGUUCCUUUAGAAAUGAAACUGAUGAUAAUGGAAAAUGCAAAUCAAGCUUAGCAAAUAUUUUUCCCAUUUUUAAAACUUCCUAACUCAAGCCUCUAGUUUCUAAACUUAGAAAAUAUAUAUGGGAUUUUUACCUAGUUAUACUAUAAUAUAUAUGCCUUACAAUUUCUUUGGCCAAUUGCUUUUGGUGAAGGUAUUUUAGUACACUUUUGUUACUAUCACCUAAAAAGACCAGAUGGAUAGGCAGACAAAAGCAGCAAUAAGUGGGGUGUGAGAAGGAUAGUGUAUACGUAAUCCGAGAAGAAUAGUAUAUACACAAUCCUUAUCCCUACCUUGUGGGGUAGGAAGGUUGUUUCCCACAUGCAUACGAAAGCCUCCCACUUAUUUAGUUUAAUCUGGAAACGACUCUGCACGUUGAGUGAUAGUACAACGUAGAAUCCAGUAAAAGAACUUAGAAAAAUUGAGAUUCACUUUGUAAAAAGAAACUUUUUUUUCCCCUGUUAACGAAUAUGAUCCAGAUUGAGUACACAAACAGAACCCAGUGUCUUUUCACUGUUGUUUAGGCUAGCUGCUUCAGGGUGCUGUCCUCCAUAAAUCCAAAUAUUAAAGUGGCAUCUGAUAUGACAUCACAUAGACAUAUUCCUGUCAUUAACUGCAAGAAAUCUUGGAGUUUAACUUGACGAUUCUAUUCGUUAUGUUAAGUCAUUCAGUUUCCAUUCUCGAGUUGAAGCUACACUACCUCACUAGGUUGCCAAUCAAAAAAUAUUUACUAGGCUCCUUCAAUUUUGAAUAACUAGUAUUCGCGCGGACACAAACUAUGUCAAAACUGACUUGGAUUAUUCGAAUUAUAUAGAAAUAACUUUAAAAUAUAAACCUUUAGAACCAGGACAUGAAAUUAUUUCUCAAAUGUCAUAAUCGGUGAUCUAUUUUCUUUUUCUAUAUCUGUAACAACCAAACCCCUUCAUUUUAGUAUUUUCAUUUCGUUUUGCUAUCAAUACUAAAGAAUAUUAAAAAUGUCAUAUUGUGAUAUGUGUUGUUUCAGGGAAAAGGAUAGAUCCUACAGGGAAAAAAAAGUAUGUGAAGCAGGUGACGGGGCGACACAACGACACGGAGCUACACCUCGCGGCUCAGCGCAGGGACGUGGGUGCAGUGAGGGAGAUAUUGGAGGAAAUCGAUGCACAAAUGUUGAAAACAUUGAGCGGAGCAGAGUUUGAUGCAGAGGUGGCGGCGAUAAGGGAGGCAAUGGUGAAUGAGGUGAAUGAAUUAGGGGAAACGGCAUUGUUCACCGCUGCUGAGCGGGGAUAUAUUGAUGUGGUUAAGGAAUUGCUUCCUUAUAGUACAAAGGAAGGAAUCGCUCUGGUUUUGAUCCCUUGCAUAUUGCUGCUAGCCAAGGUCACCAAGGUUAUGAACAUUUGUAUAUUGCUUGGAAGAAUUUUCUUUAAAGAGUAUUGGAUUGCUUGGUGUUGUUACUAGUAUGUGAAAACUGCGUGGUCAUCUCAUUGAAAAACUUUUCUUUGUAUGAUCUGAGACAAUUCUUAGCUCAUAAUUAGUUUUUGAGGCCAAAUUAGGCUCAAUGUCCAUAAUUAGUUGGUUUUUAAGUUUCAAUGCAUUAUUUUUAACAUGUAGGGGAGCUUUGGAACAAUGGUAAAGUUGUCUCCAUGUGACUUAUAGGUUACGGGUUCGAGCCGUGAAAGCAGUCACUAAUGCUUGCAUUAAAUUAGGAUGUCUACAUCACACCCUUUGGGUGCGGCACUUCCUCGGAUCCUACGUGAAUAUGGAAUGCCUUGUGCACUGCCAUGCAUUAUUUUGGUUUGACUGGUAUUAUCCUAGAAAUGAUAUUUUAACUCGUAUCCUAGAAAUAUGGAAUGAUAUUUUGGUUUGACUGGUAUUAUCCUAGGAUGUCUACAUCACACCCUUUGGGUGCGGCACUUCCUCGGAUCCUACGUGAAUAUGGAAUGCCUUGUGCACUGCCAUGCAUUAUUUUGGUUUGACUGGUAUUAUCCUAGAAAUGAUAUUUUAGCUCGUACUUUGUCUUUCUAAGUAUUUGAUCAAGUACUUGAGAAGGAUGGAGAUAGUCCAUCGAAGCCUGAGAAGAACCUAACUACUGAAAAAUGUAAUGUGCAGCUAUUGUUAAGUUACUAUUGGAGCAUGAGCCAUAGUUGAGCAAGACAGUUGGCCAAUCGAAUGCAACUCCUCUUGUAUCUGCAGCCACAAAAGGACAUACAUCAGUUGUCCAUGAAUUGCUUUCCAAGCCAGAUAUCAAGAUCCAAUGGCAAAAACGCGUUACAUUUGUCUGCCCGUCAAGGCCAUGUGGACAUUGUUAAAGCAUUGCUGGAAAAGGAUCCGCAACUGGCAAGAAGAACUGAUGAGAAAGGACAGACUGCACUACACAUGACUGUAAAAGGCGUUAGCAGUGAAGUAGUGAAGUUGCUUCUGCAAGCAGAUCCAGCCAUUGUAAUGCUGCCUGAUAAGUUUGGCAAUACUGCAUUGCAUAUUGCCACAAGGAAAAAGCGUUCAGAGGUAAGCGUUGUUGCUUUAUUGUCUGCAUCUUGUUUUCCUUGGCUCUGGAAACAGUGGCGGAUUUAGAGUAUAGUAUAUGGGUUCCCGGAAAUCCCGUAACUUUUGCGUAGACAUUGUAUUUCCAUAAAAAAGAAAUUCACUAACAACAACAACAUACACAAUCUUAUCCCACACCGUGGGGGAAAAAAUCCACUAAAUAUCUACUGUGAAUAGAGUUAUUAUUGUAUAUUAACAUUUACUAGGCUACACUACCUCACUCGGUUGCCAAUCAAAAAAUAUUUACUAGGCUCCUUUCAAUUUUGAAUAAUAUGUGUCCAACUCAUCUUCACAAAUCACAGGUAAAGCUAUCCCUGGUUUAAGUUUAGGGCACUUACUUUAUGAAAGUUAACAUUAUACUUCUCAGUAAUUUAAACGCAUUUCGAAAUUAUUUAUCGAACUUUAUCACUGUUCCACAUCUAUUUUAAAUCUGAAGACGGAAGGAACAAUCAAACCAAUAUAGAAGACAAGGUUGACGAAUUAACCAUUUAGUAGUAAUGCCACUGAGUUGUCGCUGGCCCGAUGCUUGGGACAGGAAAUGAUACAUGCUCGGUUUCUGUUAUAAAACUAAACUAAUAAAGCUUUUACAAGUCAUUUUCGUCAGACACAAAGAAGAAAAUAAAACAAAGAAAUCAAACCAUUAUUCCCUCUGGUUGAAAGGAGGAGAUGAUCACACGGAAUUUAAAGUUGCUUAAUUAGGAUAGACUUUGAAGAUAAACUUCAUAUCCGUCGGCCCAAAUGUGGAAUUUCUCUACUUUUCCCUUAAUCGAUUAAUAGAGCAUAAGAAAUAAACAUCCACUGCCAAAACCAGAAGAGUCAUCAGUUUUCAUAAAUGUGAACAACUUUCCCAGCACAAGAGUUCGUUUAAAUGUACGCCGAAGUAGAUUGAUUACAUGUCAUUUACAAAACACGCCACACCUAGUAAGCUCUCCGUGAACCAAAUCAAGUUUAGAUCAUCCUAAAAAGCCCUACUCCUUUGACGAUUUUUCCACAGCCUUGCAACAUCUCAAUCAUACAUUC
rnacentral:lncRNA from 1 species